GGAUGUGGCUCUCAGCAGCCUGCUCUGCUGGUUUGCAGCCCUGCCCACAGCAGGGGGGUUGGAACUACAUGAUCUUUGAGGUCCUUUUCAACUCAGGCCGUUCUAUGAUUCUACGAUUAAGUGAACCAACUACCUAAUUCUCCUUUAAACGGCAAAAUCAGAAAAACAAAUGCCCUCUUUUCUAGAGCUUCUCUCCAGCAGAUGGCAGCAAAGAGGCAGUCUGACAGAAUGGCGUCUGACAUGGAAGUGUCGGUGAAGCAAAGAUGUAUCAUGGAAUUCCUCCAUGAGGAAAAAAAUGGCACCCAGUGACAAUCAUUGACACUUGCUGAAUGUUUAUGGAGAUCAAACAGUGGAUGUGAGUACAGUGAGUGCUGUGUUUCAGCAGCAGUGACAGCAACAUGAAAAGCCACAUUCCUGACAGCUAUGCACAGAUGUCACACAUGAAACGGAAUGUGCCCCAAUCAGCUCAUCUGCAUAAAUCAGCAAAUUACAGACAGGGAACUGUGUACACACAUGAAUAUUGGCUUCAGCGUUUUGGACAUGAUGGUGACAAUAUUGGAAUAUCACAAAGUUUUCUCCAAGGGGGUCCCACAAAUCCUCACAUAGGAACAAAAGGAACACUAUAUGCAAGUUUGUCAGGACCUACUGAACCAAUAUGAGGCCAAAGGUGACUGUUUCCUGGAUCGCACAUUACCAGUAAUGAGAUGUGGUAUCACCACUAUGAGCUGGAGUCAAAACAGCAGUGACAGGUGAACUCCCCACUGAAGAAAAUGCGCAAGACACAGCCCUCAGCAGGUAAAGUGAUGUGCACCAUCUUUUGGUACAAGAAAGAGGUAAUCCGUCUGGAUUUCCUGAAACCUUGACAAACCAUCAACUCUGGCAGCUACAUUGAAAUUCUAAAUUGAAGGCUUGAAAUUCCAGUCAGGAGAGAGAAGAAGACAACCUUUGUCUUGCAACACAAUAACACCAGGCCCCAUCUCAGUGUGAAGAUCAUGGAGUAUACUGCCAGUCUUGACUGGACUGUCCUACCAUGCCCACCAUAAAGUCUGGAUCUGGUGCCUUCUGACUUCCUUCUGUUUGUGCCAAUGAAAGAUGGACUGUGUGGACAAUAUUUUCUGAGCAAUGAUGCCGUCAUAGCAGUUGUGAAACAGUGGGGCACCUCCACUGGAGCAGAUUUUUACAAGCACAGCGUGUAGGCUCUUGUUCAUUGCUGGUGAAAGUGCAUAGCUAAUGGUAGUGACUACACUGCAAAAUAGUGUUUCGUAGCUAUGAUAUGCUCCACCAAAUAGUGUUAUUUUGCUCUUUGCAUCUAUUGUAGUUUCCAAGAAAAUAAAUAGGAGACAUUACUUUUGGUGCUACCCAUGCACAAACCAAUGACAAAGAUAAGAUAUUCAGAGGACUUUUCCAUUCCAGAUCUUAGCCAUUAUUUUGGCUAAGGUCAUGCAUGGUUUUUUUUAGCUCACAGAAGGUAUUUUAACAUUUCCAUGAUGUUCCCAUUUCCAAAUGUCAGUGAAGCAUCACUCUAUAACAUAAUUAAGUGACCAAAAGCAUUUUAAACAGUUUGAUCCCUUUGCUGUUCUGUGUUUGUUUCUUUUUUUGUUUGUUUGUUUUUAAUGUGUACAAUAGCUUGGACUUCAUACAUAGUAAGGCCAGAACAUAUUAUUGCAAUGUAUAGCACUACAUGAAAAACUAGGACCUACAAUGGUCAGAUUGCAGUGUUCAGAUAGUUGUUUUUCCAGCUCCAUAGGCAGUAGGUGAAAAAGAACAUCAAUCAGAAACUCACAGUGGAGUCAUACAGACAUCCUGGUCACACAGAAGUUCCCCAUUUAACUCACGAAAGCCAAAGCACAGUAAGCUUAUAUCACUGGACUGCAGGUGUUUCCAGAGUAAAAACCAUAUUGUUAUGGGUCUGCCAUAGAAAUUACAUCGGGGCUGAGAUUUUCAGGUGUUGCCAGAAGAAAAAUAAUGAUACUUAACACCAAUGGUAAAGGCAGAGUUAGGAGCUGGACUUGAAUCAUCCCAUUUACAGUCCCAGAAAUUCCUUACUAGUUUAUUACGCUGCAAUUUUCAGACCAACUGAAAGUGCUGGUACUUUUCAUGGAGUAUAAAGACUGACAAGCAUUUGCUAAGAAGGCAAGCCAGAAGGCACUGUUCUGAUAUCUUACUUGUUGGCCACACUCACUUUAGACUAGUUCACCUUAUUAAUGUUCUUUCUUCCUAUUAUUGUCUUUUUCAGAAGAGCGUUAUAAAUUCUGACCAUUUUCCUUUGAACUGAUUCCUAGUGCAUGUUUCUUGUUUAGGAAAAUCAAGCGUAUUUGGAGUGACAGUUGUGAGACAUCGCCUAACUGGACUUGUACAAAGCAUUUGAUGCUGUCCUAUACAACACCCUUGUCUUCAAAUUGGAGAGAAAUUGAUUUGACAGAUGGACUGCUUGGUGGAUAGGUAACUGACUGGAUGGUUACAUGAAGAGAGUUGCAGUCAACAGCGCUAUAUCAGGAAACAUUCCGGGGAACUGGUGAACCUGAAAAAUGAUCCGUGUGUAAAAAGCCUACUCAACAAAGAUCGGACUAGAGUCAAAAAAUUAAAUUCAUCACCAAGACUUCACCAUUCACUGCAGAGAAAUUUAUGGAGUUUCUCAUAACAGGACAAUUCUUUACAAAGAGAAUCUGAGGAUUUAUCUCAAACUGAAGUGUUGAUACAAGGACAUUUGUGCCUGGAAGAAAAUGUAAACCACACAAUAACUGUUAAGCAGGACCAUGUGGUAUUUACCUAAGUGCUCCAAAGGAGCUCCCUGUGAAGGCUAUGAACUAUGGUGCAUGAUAUAUUGCUUAAACCAGCCUUAAUAUGAGAGAAAUAUAAGGUGAUAAAUACAGUGGAAAUGUUCUAAAAGAACAGAGAAAGUACAUAAAUGGAUAAAUGCAAUAUGUCUAGGAAGGGCUUGAAGAGGACAAUAAAGCCUUUUAGAAGAAAAUAUGACCAUAUAAAUCUAUUACAGUUCUUUGAUGCAGUCACUGAACUUGUGACUAACACUGAUACAGUGAUUUUAUCAGUAAGCACUUGACAAGAUCUCUCAACAGAUAUGUUUAAAGAAACUAAGCUGUCAUAGGAGUGUUCAAAUAGAUUAUUAAUUGUUUGAAAAUAAAGAGUAAGAAUAAAUGGUUGGCUUUUGCAAUUGAAAGAGGUUACCAGCAAGGCCCAAGGGAGCUAUAUUGAUCUCAGGCAGUUCAUUAAAUGAACUGGGAAGGGACUGAAGAGUGAGGUGAUGAAGUUUGUAAAUGAUACACUAUUAUUCGAGCUAGCCAAAACUAAAGCUGACAACAACUAGUUGUAGAAGUUUUUCAUGAUACUAAGUGCUGGGUUCAGAGAAAGUAAAUAGGGAACAAUUAAGUGCAAGAAUUUAUUGGCAACUAAUGGAAUUAAGUUUAAAGCAGUUUAAAGCAAACGAAAGGAAAUACUUUUUCUGCAAAUAAUUAAUAUGUGGAACUCAUGCUGUGGAGCUCAAAGUUGCAAUUAGAAGGUAAUUAGAGAAGUUCAUGAAAAAACAGGUCAUACAGCAUUGGUAAAUGCAAUGGUGUAAGUAAAACUUCUGGCUUAAGGAGCCUCUAGAUAAGUCAUUACUGGAAGCUGGGAAGGUAAAGGAAUGGAAGAUUCAUUCUGUAACUGCAGUGUUCUUAUAUUCUUCCCCUAAGCGUCUGCUAUCAGCAGAAUUACAGCCAACUGAAUGAAAACAUAUUACAGCCAACUGAAUGAAAAGAUUUGAGCACUGACUCCUAAAACUUGGGAAUAUCCUAUUCUUUUUUUUUUUUUUCAUUUAUUUGUUUCUUUGUUUUGUUUUUGUGUUUUACCCAUCUCUAUUUGCCUCAUCUUGUAGGUUAGGGACGAGGACAUUUAUUGCAUGCUUAUAGAUAAGUAAUAAGCUAACUUUCACAGAAAAGACUUGUUGUAUUACCAAAAUAAAUAAAUAAAUAAAUAAAUAAAUAAAAAUAAAAGCCCACAAGAAAAACCUAUAAUAAAGAAAAUUAAACUGCAGUGUCAAGCAGUUUUAAGUUCUGAAGGAUGGAAUUUAAAGUCGUCCAAGCAAGCUUUAACCUUCAUAAUCAAAGUAAAUAGAAAUAACUAAAAAGAAGAGAAGUCUAGGGUAGAUGUCAUGUUUACCUCAAUCUCUCUAUGUGUUCAUUUGUCAUUUUCUAUGCAAAAUCAAUUUAUUUGAGCACAAAAAGUCAUAAAGUAUACAGCUGCAACUGGGUCCUUCAUUUUAAAAUUUCAGCAUGAGUAAAGGAAUGAUAAAUUACAGAUAACUGAAAAUAAGAAAUAUGCAAAUCAAAACUCCAAAACAAAAGAAAAGAUGGGGAAGUUUGGGAAGCCAUAACAUGCCUAAGGGAAGAGCUUUGCAGAAGGGAUGUUAUCUGUUGGUUUGCAAAGUACUUGUGCCCAUUGGUGAGAUGGAAUUAGGGAAUUACUUUCUCUGCUGGGAUUGCAGUUGGAACAGGUUACUUGGAAACGUGUUCCAGCACUAAGCUUGAUUCAGUAAGAAGUUGUAGGAUUUCCUUCAUCAUCAAAUAUAGAUAUAACAUGAGAAAAAUGUGUUUAUUUCUAGGAAAAGACCACAGAAAUGCAUUUAAAUAUCCGUCUCCAUAUCUUUUGGAUGUGAACAACAAAGACUGGCAAGUUCAGACUCUGAACAAGUGAAGAGCAAUUUCUCUGCCGGUAGCUUGCCAGAGAAAGAAGCAUCCAGAGCAGUGCUAUAUUAGACAUUAUAUAUAAAAUAAGAGGUUAUGAGAGAGAAGCUAGCCUGGGCACUCUUUUUCUCCCCAGAGUCUUUUCUCCUCGCAAACAUUUUAUAUUAAAUCUUUGAUCUCUUUGCACCAGGGUGGUCGGGUUACUGAACACCAUUUCUUUUGUGCUAUUCAUCUUAUUUAUACUCCAGUUUCUCCUUCCUGUUCUGUACUGAUGGCACAAUGUGUUAAAGGUACCUAAAUUAAUACCAUCUAAAGUGGAGAGCAACAUCUGAAAGUCUUCAUCUUUUUGUUUGUUGCUUCUUUAGGUCAAAAUACUGAACAAAUUUUGGUAUACACAAAUCUAAAAUCCAUGAUGGAGCUGGGCUGUGCAUGCAGACUGCUUAUCCGUCUGCAGCGGCUUGAAAAUUCCAAGGGGAAAUGGUCAGCAACAUUAGACAAACUGACCAAGUCCAUUUGCAUCCUAUUCACUAGCUGGGUACAGGACUCAGUGUUGGGGAAGAUAUCUUUCUUGUAUUAUGACAAUGCCUCCCAAUGGGAAUGCAAGAGAAGAUAUUAAGGACCAUGAGCAGCCUUCUGCCAGUCUCAGAAUCAACCGAGUUAAUGCCUGCAUCUCACAUAAAAGAGAAACUGCUAACCUCCUCAUUGCUGAGGGCACGGGAUCAAGAGUAGCUGAGCCUGACCUGUAGUUCAUGGGAGCCAACAGGAACUCAGAAGCGAGCCUGCCACAAGUGUCCAGUCAUGAGGAGCUGAGCCGCUCCAGGAGUGGAUCAGAGCCACUCAGCCUUCCUGUGUGAUGGUAAAUAAAAUGAGCCAGCUCUAUACAAGGAUCACUGCCCCUGAGAACAACUGGCACAGCACAACUAUAGGGUAAGCUGAAUUUCCUCACUCUCUACACAGCAUGGUUGCAUCCAAAAUGCCUUCUUGGAGUCGUCCUUGUUGCAUCUUAAUUUCUAGCUGUAGUUGGAUAUGGUCCAGAAGCACCUGGAAGACUCUGAGUUCAUCCCAAAAAUGCUGCCAGACUUGGGCAGAGACAGCUGAAGAAUUACAGCCUUGUUCCUGGUUCUGCCCAUGCUCCUAUAUCUGGAGCAACUUUAUUCCUCUCUUCAGCUAAGAUCAUCCACCCUCCUUUCUGCAUGCUUCCAACUUACACAUGCAAGACAAAACAUUAGAUCCCUCCAAGGAGCAAUAGUCAUUCUGGUGCCCUGGAUGCUUGACACAUUGGAGAACAGGGUGCUAUCUCAGCAGCAGUUUUCUCCGUGGGCACUACUGUAUGAACCCCAUUAUGGAAAUGACAUCGCAGACCGACAUCUCAUUCUGCACUCCCAGGAAGCUUCAAGAUACCUGAAACAUAUCAGAAACCCAUAUGUUGGCAGCCCUGUCUACGCUUGGGAGCUGAUGUGGAUUCCAGGCCCAGAAACUCUCAUUCCACUAAAAGGAAGAUUAUACUAUUACACUGUAACAAAAUCUUGGGGAGUUCCAUUUCCAAAGAGCAUAUUUGCCUUUGUUGGGAGUCCCACGCAUAUCUACUGUGGUAAGAGCAGCACUGUAAUAUCUGCUACUCAAAAGGACAGCAGCUACAAAGAGAACUAGCCACCAACAUCAGCAUCUUCACUUUUAUCUUCAAACAACACAUGGUAUUAAUCUGGAGCCUCGCAUUCCUAAAAGUACUGGAAUCAUGAAGCAAUUUGCUUCCAGCAGGACCCUGAAACACAGAGUAACACAAGGGAAAACAGUCAGAAUGAACAAUCAGAGCAAAAUAUGCCUGCUGUCAAAUAGACUCUAAGCUUUUAGCUUUUCACCCGACAUCACCCAGCUGAUGAUUUGCGGGUCUCAUUCUACUUCCAGCCGCACCGCCUAAGUCGUGGAGGUGGGAGCAGUUACUGUGAGUCACUGAAACAUGGGGCAGCUUCAGAGAGCGACACGUGUUGGGACAGGGCAGGAUUAAUAAGGUCAGAAUCUCAUUCGCACGUCAGUUCUGCUCUGGCAUAAGUAUGUGAUGCACUGCAGCUUGGUCAUGUUUCAGUGGGGUUGCUUCAGAUCUGCUUUACCCUUUGUGAGAUCAGAAUCUGUGGCUGAUAUCGGAUGAAAAGUUACGGUGACACCGAGGCAAUUUCUUUUGUAUUUCAUGUGAAGAAAGCUAAAAUAAAUAGCAUGAAAGGCCUCCCCUGUUAUUAGCUGGUGUGUUUGAAAGAAUCCUGCAGUUGUGUUUUAUCUUUUUUUUUUUUUUUUUUAAAUCAGCAAGCCAGAACAUUUAAGAUUUAAUUAUUUGGAGAAAGGGGGAAGGGAAGUGUGCCUUUUGAAGAAAGUCCCACAAGCUUCCAAACACUUCAACAUUUCAUCGUGGCAAUCAGCCAGAUGCCAAACAAAAUGCUGCUUUCCACCAGGGAUCUGACAGGUGGCCUUUCCAAAGUUUACACAUUGAAGUGAGAGCUGAUGUUCUACUGCUUAUUUUUUUUUUGCCUUCUAAGUUAUUCCUUUAUUGAAGCCAGACUGAAGACAUCUUUCCAUGUAACAAAAGAUAAAAUCUAUCCCUGAAUAUUUUGGGAUUUCAAUGUGCCUUUCUUUUAUCCAUAUCUACUCAAGGAAUUAUUUUUUACACAUUCAGAUGAAGAAACAUUAGUCUGGCAAGAGAGAGAAAUGCAUGCACAGACAGAUGAAAGAUAAGCUAUUUGAAGCCUCACUGAUAACACAGGGCCAGAUACUACUUAGCUACAACCUGGGGCAGAAUCCCAUGUUUCCCUUGACGCAUUUCCUCCAUACCACCCUUCUGGCAGAGAAGAGGCCUGGCAUGUCAGCCUGAGAGCAUUUCCACCAGGUUCCAAGGUUCCUGGGAUUCUCCACCUGUCACCUGUUGCCCAAGGGCUGUCAGAUUUUUCUCCUCAGAAUUUUUAGAUGUUCCUGGAAACCCUCUAAAUCUACGCAUAGAAAAUAGCUGGAGAGACAAAGUGCAGGGCAAAAAUGAUGCAUCAUAGAUUUCAGCCAUACAUCUCAGUUUUCUUCAUGUGUGAAGUCCCUACAAAUACACAGGAAGAUCCAGGUUAAGAGAUGAGAGAAACUACAAAUCCCUCUGUAGAAACAACUGGUCUGCACUUCCCCCAAACAGAGAAGGGCUGGGUCCUCUUAGGAUACACUCUGUACUCUCUUUGCUUUCGGAAGUGCAGCACUCAAACAAAAAUCUGUACUGAUGAGCUUCCCACACAAGUCAGCAGAGCUACUCCUACGUCACAUGAACGCAAACCAAAAGGCAAUGAACCCUAUAAAUAAUGCAUACGUAAAGAGAGCAGCAAAUGCUGAUUUACAGAAUUUGAUCUCAUCUGAUGUGAGAUACAAUCAUGGAGUGAGUUGCUGGAGGUUAAUGGAGUUGCUCAAAACUGAUGACUCAGUUUACGAGACUCAAGUCUGACUCAGCUUAACCUAGUUCUGGGAUCAUAUUCUCAAAACUCAGAAGAGAAGACUUGGGGCUUCCCUUUGUGCUCAUUUAUAUCCCAUUUGGCUAUCAUGAAACCAAAAGGAAAGUGGGGUAUAUUAGAUAAUGUAGUACACAACCAAGAGGGAAACUCUGGCAGAGAAAAACCUAAGUUCUGACCAAAAAAAAAAAAAAAAAAAUCUUACUAUUGGCAAUCAUCAGUAAGGGAUCUAUGAGCUGGACUCAGUGAUACUUGUAUGUCCCUUCCAACCUGGGAGAUUCUAUGAUUCUAUAAUCUUUCCCACUGUUGUGUUUCUAUACUGCAGUCUUCACCAUAGCAUCUAAGCCAUUUCUGAGAGCUUCCCAAGGGACUUACAUCUGGUACAUACCAUCUGUGUGCCCAUCAUUCUCCUGGCAGUAGAUGAGCAGUGAUAUGCCUCUUUUGGAAGGGACUGCUUUAAAUUGCUGUUACAUAUAUUAAUGUGUGUUUGUACUGGAGAAGACAAGAUCAAACAAAUGGCUCUACACUUGAAGAAGGUAGACAAUCAGUGUGCAGGAACUCAGUUCCUGAGAGACUUUAUUCCACCGGCUGAAAACAGCACACAAGGCAUGUUUAUGGAGGAGCAUUCUCUUCUACUAAAUGGGCAAAGCUGUAACCCAUAGCAGUUCUCUUAUAUACAAACAAGUGCAUGUAUAUAAAUACAAUAGAAGUCUAGACAUCAAUUGGAGAUUUUUUAAGGAUCCCUAUGUUGGGCCAUUUUACCAUGAGAAAAUGCUGGAAAAGUGACCUUCCAGAUACAAAAUUAAAAGUAUGUGAGCAAAUAUGCCACCGAACACAGUUACUGUACAGUGCAAGUCUUUUAGACAGAGCUGAAUCACAAAAUCCUCUGAAUGUUCAAAAAUAAAACAAGAAAGUGAAAAUAUGAAACAUUAGUAUGGCACCAUCGUUGCUGAAUUGUUCACCCUUGGCCAUGAUCCUCCUAUUUUGACCAAUCUUUUCCAGGCCAUUCUUUGUUUUCCAAAAGUCAGACUACCACUCAAUUUGUCAGCAGUUCUACAUGUGACCGAGAGGGAAGUGCACUUCAGCAGUACUUAGUUAAAAUUUCAGCUUCCACCCAGUCAUGACAAUGGCAAAACAACCACCGAUUUCAGUCAUGCAAUUCAAGCAGACUGCAAAAUAAGCAUAAAAUAAGUUACAAUUGUUAGCAACGUUCCACAAUACUUAAAGCAGACAGAGAAAUGCUUGAACUCCUCUGUGAGUAGUAAAUAAGCCAAUAAGCUCUUGCCGUCUCUCCUCCCACCCCACAGCCAUAAGAAUAUUUGAAAAAGAAAAAAAAAAAAAGAGAGAGAGAGAGAAGGAAUAUAAUGAAAGCAAUGCAACAAAGCAGGCAAUUCCUUAGGAAUUAUCUCACAUUCAACAUCUCUUUGAAAUUAUCCAGCAACUAAACCACAAGCCCCCUGGUCCUUUUGGUCUUACAAAACAACAACAUAGUCUUCAGAUGCAGUAAUUAUAGGCAACAUGCACGAAGAAAAGCAAAUAAAGCAGUUUUAAUUGCCAGAGUCAAACACGUAAUUGUGUAUCUAUAAAGGUAAUUACAAACUAAAAGAUCAGUAAUGGUUCUUGUUUCUUCCGUUUUACCCUGAAGAAAAACAAUUAUCACUUAAGUAACCCUAAUCAUUUUAAUAUUUGUUUGGCAUAUCAGAAUCACAUCUAAAUCCCCUUCUUUUCUGAGGCAUCUGAAAUAUGUACUCAGAGCCAAACACUACGUUUUCUCAUUUCUAAUUCAGGAAAGUCUUGAUCCAAAACCCUCUGAUGGCAAUGGAAAGAACCCAUAGAACUCAUUACUGCUUAAUCAGAUUUUUUUUUUUUUAAUUCUUCUUAUCUAUUUUUUAUCUCACUAGCCUCUCUCUCUGCAAGAGACAUUGAAAGUAUAAGGAUCAGGAAGGGACUCCAGAAAUGGGCAAAUAUGAAAUAUGAAAUAUGUUGUUAUGUAUGAAGCUUCUCUACUGUUUAGUACUCACGGUAAAGCAUCAGGCUGACGAUUUUGUCUACAGUUAUAAAACACCUGGAGUACGCCCUCAAUCCUUGAGUGAAAUCUCAGAGAAUGAUACCCAGUUAUUGCCUUUCAGCAUGGGUUGAUCUUGCAAGGGAUCUUUCUCUCCACUUGGAGGAAAACACAAGCACGUGCCAUAACACAUAAGUACUUGAAUAAAAUACCUCAUAGAAAACUAGCCUACUGCCAUCUACAGAGGUUGAUUAAGAACUUCAUUAAAGAAAUUAAAAGCACUGUUAAAUGUUUUAACCUCAGUUUGACACUCAGAGUACAUUUGGCCCUUGGAAACAUUUAUCAUACUUGCAACACUUUUCAAAAUCUACAAUAUUUGGUGUGGGAGAGAACGGAGAACAACAAAUGAAAUGAAAAAGACAGAUCUGGCUUGUUUCAGUAACUCUAGCUCUCAGGAACCAGAUCACAGUUGAAAAAUCAGAACUGGAAAUUACUAUUAUAACAUCAGUGAAUGUGAUCCUGAUGAAACAUUGAAAGGCGACUUUAUUUAAGGGGCAACAAGGGGGAGAUAAGAUCAAACCUCUCACUUUGUUCUAUAUGGACAAGCAGAUCUCAAUAACAAUAACAGCUCAUGCAGCCUCUCAAGCAUGAGCUGCUGAGCCAAUGAAGGAGGCAGCCAGGCUCACCUCCGAAGCCUAGUUUGGGCUCAAAUCAGCAUCCGCACUUAGAUCAGAGCCAACAGAAGUUAAGCCAGCAAGAAUAUUUUGGCACCAUUUCCUGGCGGCCACAGUGACCUCAUUUAUUUAUUAUGUAUUUUCUUUUUCAUGCUCUAUGUAUUCAGUCAGCUUUGCUGGCUGAUGUCCUGUUUUUUUGGCUUGUUCUACUAUGGCUUGGCUGUACCUUUGACUGUUUGGCAUGCCCAACUCUGGUAUCACUUGAUUUGUAAAGCUGCUGCAAUUUCUUAAUUGGACAAUUAUAGACUGGAAUCCAUUUAUGAAAGUUUGUUCUUAGCAUUCCACACUGCACAGAAACUAUUCAUUCACUCAUCAAGCUUGCUGAACACAGAGUAAUACAGGACUUUGCCAUGAAGUGGGAGGAGACUUGAGGGGUAAGACUGUGAUCAGUAAAUAUCACGAACUUCUCUUCAAAGUUCAAUCCAGUACAGCACCCAUCUUUUCACAAGGGACUUCUGUUUUCCUCUCUUACACAAUUUUUAAGCUCUCUUUCUACCCACCUCUCACUCCAUAGUACCCAUUUAUCAUAGAAUCUUAAAAUCAAUUGAGUUAGAAGAGAUCCUUAAAGGUCACCUAGUUCAACUCCCCUGUAGCAAACAAGGACACCCACAGCUCAGUCAAGAGUGCCUUUGUGGUGUAUUUCCAUACCUUAGGUGCAGUCAACAGUUUUUCACCAGAGAGAAAGCUCUCAACAGAUCAAGCAAGGCAAAUAACAUUGAGUAACACCUGCAUGUUACCUUUCCCCUAGCCAAGCAGAACUACAGCUGUACCCUUAGCCCCAGUGGUUUCCAUUGCGCUGUUCAGAAGUCUACAAGAUAUAGCAGUACUCAGAGUAUCUGGCAGGACAGCACACAAUCACAGAAACAGGAGCAGCUUCUUGCAUUUUUUAAUCUUAGACAGCUUCACAAAGACUUCAACAUCCAGGCCUCAAACCUUGGUAUAAAGAGGACCUUAAGGACAGAAGCUGACAUGUUUCCAAAUAACAGCAAGCUGAGAUCCCAAGAGGCUUACAAAUUCCGUUCUGUUUCUGGUCAAGAAAGAGCAGAGCCUGGUAAGCAGGGUCCUCCUGUGGCUGCAUGAAAAUGCCAUACACGCAAAUGACUCAAACACGUUUCCUGUGUGCCCAGCCAUUGGGAAUGCCAAGGAAAACAGGAGAGAUUAAAACUUUAUCUCCAACAGCAGACUGCCUUCCCAUAGCUUCUGCUGCAGUGUUGGGAAUUAAAUAACACUGGGGAGGAAUCUAGUGAGUGAACCAGUGCACACCAAAUAUGUCCAGGCUUGGUCCUAAACCAGUUUCACCCAGACUGUGCAAGGAGUCUACCCAGUACCCAAGAACAGCAGCAAUCUCCACAGAAGGCUUAGGGAAUCAGGGAACAAGACAACUUCUAUGGUAGUACUUUGUUGUCCCAGUCCAAAAUUCGGCACAAAGCAGAUGAUCCCUACAGGUCCAUUCCAAUCCCUACAAUUCUUUAAUAUGUGCUUCCUUUCACAGAAAUAACAUGUUUCUGGAAAGGUCUUCUCUCCAAAAGAUCACCGAAUCAUAGACUCAUAGAAUGGUUUGAGUCAGAAGGGACCUUUAAGAUCAUCUAAUUCCAACCCCCUGCUAUAGGCAGGGACACCUCCCUCUAGACCAGGUUGCUCAAAGCCCCAUCCAGCCUGGCCGUCAAUGCCUCAAGGGUGGAAGCACCCACAACCUCUCUGGGCAACCUGUUCCUGUGCCUCACUACCCUCAAAGUAAUGAAUUUCUUCCUUGUAUCUAGUCUAUAACUACCCUCUUCCAGUUUAAUUUUACAAUUAAAUCUCACGGUAUCUUUUUCAGGAAUAUAUCAGUCAGCAAGGGUUUUUAUUGUUGUUUUUGUUAUUAUUAUUAUUAGUUUUAAUGUGGGUUUUAUUCUGUUUUUUCUUUUGGGAGGAGAAAACUAAGGGGUGAUGCAGUUAAGCAUCUGUCUGAGGCCAGAGUGGAAUCAUAAGCAGAUUGAUCCCAAAUUUCCAUGUGUGCCAUCCCACGCUCAUUAUUCCAUGAUAAAAUUCAGGAAGUCUCACAGCUAAAGCUUGGAUGCUAUUUUAAAUUAUAUAGUGUGGAUGAAGUUUAUUACCUAUGUUAAUUACCUAGUCCUGCUUCAAAUUCCACUCUCAGUUCAAUGGAAUCCAGUUCACCAGAAUCCAUAUAGGACUGUGAGGUCAACAGAGGUCUGUAGCUAUAGGAUGUCUCUUUUUUCCCCCUCCUUUUUUUUUUCUUUUUUUUUUUUUGAAUAUUUCUCACGUACCCCCAAUGCAGCCUCAAUGCAAGACUUUGUGCUUCAUUUAUGCUGUUUAAUAGUUGGUAUGGAUAUUGACUAAGUAACUACAAAUCAACAAAUUUCAUUAAAAACAAACUCUCACUA